CAGGAAGCCCUGCGUAAAUGGAAAAUGUGUGGGACCCGACAAGUGUUCAUGCUCCGCAGGAUUUAAAGGACCACACUGUGAUGAAGAUGUGAAUGAGUGCGGUUUGCUGAAGAGACCCUGUUCCCAGCGCUGCAUGAACACGCCGGGCAGCUACCGUUGUUACUGUGAGCCCAGAUACUCCCUAACUGCAGAUGGAUACACCUGCACCAGAGAUACCACAUGUUUCUCCCUGUGUUGCCAGUUUGGUUGCCAGCUGGAGAGAUCAGGAACAGUUCAGUGCCUGUGUCCACCUGGCCUCCACCUGGCGACCGAUAAUAAAACCU